rnacentral:rRNA from 1 species
GAGCUUGCUCUAGGGGAUUAGUGGCGAACGGGUGAGUAACACGUGAGUAACCUGCCCUUGACUCUGGGAUAACCUCCGGAAACGGAAGCUAAUACCGGAUAUGACGUACGGAGGCAUCUCCUGUACGUGGAAAGAAUUUCGGUCAAGGAUGGACUCGCGGCCUAUCAGGUAGUUGGUGAGGUAACGGCCCACCAAGCCUACGACGGGUAGCCGGCCUGAGAGGGUGACCGGCCACACUGGGACUGAGACACGGCCCAGACUCCUACGGGAGGCAGCAGUGGGGAAUAUUGCACAAUGGGCGCAAGCCUGAUGCAGCAACGCCGCGUGAGGGAUGACGGCCUUCGGGUUGUAAACCUCUUUUAGUAGGGAAGAAGCGAAAGUGACGGUACCUGCAGAAAAAGCACCGGCUAACUACGUGCCAGCAGCCGCGGUAAUACGUAGGGUGCGAGCGUUGUCCGGAAUUAUUGGGCGUAAAGAGCUCGUAGGCGGUCUGUCGCGUCUGCUGUGAAAACCCGAGGCUCAACCUCGGGCCUGCAGUGGGUACGGGCAGACUAGAGUGCGGUAGGGGAGAAUGGAAUUCCUGGUGUAGCGGUGGAAUGCGCAGAUAUCAGGAGGAACACCGAUGGCGAAGGCAGUUCUCUGGGCCGUAACUGACGCUGAGGAGCGAAAGCGUGGGGGAGCGAACAGGAUUAGAUACCCUGGUAGUCCACGCCGUAAACGUUGGGCGCUAGAUGUGGGGACCAUUCCACGGUUUCCGUGUCGCAGCUAACGCAUUAAGCGCCCCGCCUGGGGAGUACGGCCGCAAGGCUAAAACUCAAAGGAAUUGACGGGGGCCCGCACAAGCGGCGGAGCAUGCGGAUUAAUUCGAUGCAACGCGAAGAACCUUACCAAGGCUUGACAUAUACGAGAACGGGCCAGAAAUGGUCAACUCUUUGGACACUCGUAAACAGGUGGUGCAUGGUUGUCGUCAGCUCGUGUCGUGAGAUGUUGGGUUAAGUCCCGCAACGAGCGCAACCCUCGUUCUAUGUUGCCAGCACGUAAUGGUGGGAACUCAUAGGAGACUGCCGGGGUCAACUCGGAGGAAGGUGGGGAUGACGUCAAAUCAUCAUGCCCCUUAUGUCUUGGGCUUCACGCAUGCUACAAUGGCCGGUACAAAGGGCUGCAAUACCGUAAGGUGGAGCGAAUCCCAAAAAGCCGGUCUCAGUUCGGAUUGAGGUCUGCAACUCGACCUCAUGAAGUCGGAGUCGCUAGUAAUCGCAGAUCAGCAACGCUGCGGUGAAUACGUUCCCGGGCCUUGUACACACCGCCCGUCAAGUCAUGAAAGUCGGUAACACCCGAAGCCG